rnacentral:lncRNA from 1 species
AGGAUGUCAAUGGGUCGGAUUCAAAACAGAUUUUAAAAAAUCUAAAUUCAGAUUUUAAAAAUUCAUAUUUAAAACUGAAAAACAAUUUUACCGUACUUAGAAAUUAAAAUUUAAAUUUUUAAAAUAUAAAUUCAAAUAUAAGAUCAAAUUUCUAUUCAGGUUCGAGUCAGGUAUAGGCAAAAUCCAUACUUGUAUCCAAAAUUGUCGAGUUAUUAUUUCAUACACUUGUAUUCGAAACCAUAUCUAUUUCGCAGAUACACUCUGUUAAAAUUCUGGUUUGAACUAUUUUUUAUGAAUUAAUUUUUUUAGGUGACAUGCUACGAAAGAU